GCCGGUGUGGCGAAAUGGCAGACGCGGCAGAUUCAAAAUCUGCUCCUAGCAAUAGGGUGUUGGUUCGAGUCCGACCAUCGGCA
rnacentral:tRNA from 1 species